AUUCUUCUCUGCCCGGAGUAAAUAGAUCAGCUUGCAUUCUCUGGGGGUGGGGAGAAUGUAAUUUACAGAUGCUAGUUAAGGUCAUGGUCAUGAAACUUCUCAGUUUUCAUCCCUUCGACCUGCGCGUAUUGAAAAUAUGUAUUUUGACCAGUUCUAAAGAUGAUUUACAUUGCUUUGAAGGUCUGGGAAUGACCUACAAUUAGUUCAGAGGUUAAGUUGUAAGCAUUCAAAGCAUUUGGUUUUGUGUUAAUCCUUAAGGGAGCUGUCAGUAAAUAGUGUGGGGAGGGGGCCGGUUUGAGGGAAAAGAGGUAACUUGACAACCUUCUUUUGAAGUAACAAUCCUUUUCAUCCAGGUAUACUUUUAUAUCUUUAGGAUGGUUUGGAAAGAAAGUCUCACUUCUGGAAACUGGCAAAUUCAGUAAAGCUUUUAAAAUAAAAGGCAGACAAUCUUGAGUUUUUGUAGACUCAUGCACUAUGGGACAAAAAGAGCAAAGACUUCUCACUAAAAGAAAAUAGUUGUUUAAGACAGAGAUUCAGGAUGUCUGAAUCCUGGGCAGGUCCUCGGAACCCCCUUUUCCUCAGGAACUUGACCUCUCUGCAGGGGUUUUGGUUGGCAACUACUGUUUCCCUAAAGAGUGGAGCUUUUGAGUUCUUUGUUCCAGGAUUGGUUGGUGAAAACAAUGCCACUCAAAUGCCUACUGUUAGAGUUAUGCAGAAAACCCAGGUAACUUGGCAGAAAUCCUUCUUUUGUUAGGUUAAUAUAUCUUCUCCCUUUUAUAAGUGUAUGGUAAUUCUCAAACCUGCUGAACUAGGAGUCACCUGGGGGUGAAAUUAGAACCAUAAAAGGGAAGAACAGGGGAAUCCUCAUUUUGUAACAAGAGUUUCUGGUAAUUCUAUGAAUAAGCCUGCGCACCUGUAGCAGGUGAUCUCACUGAGCUACAUAAUGAUGGCCGAGUCUACCCUUUUUUUCUUUUUGAAAGAAUAUGAAAUUCACCUGCUUCCAUGGCUCCAUGGCCCCUUAUCAUUUGCUUCUGGUUACCGAGAACCUCAGAUCGAUUCUGAUUUUGCAAGCAGACCUGCUACCUUGCUAGCAAGAUUUCCCAAAGCCUCAACAGUUCUUCAGUCCUCUGAUUACAAAGGGAAGGCAGAAGAGAGCAAAAACAGUAGGGCAAGGAGGCUGUCUAGAAAGCAUUUCUGUGCUGAGUACCUGUCAGCUUGAAUCAGCCUUUGCUGGAAGAAGGUACCACCAAACACCCCCAAAGACCUGGGUUCGAUUCCUGGAUUGGGAAGAUCCGCUGGAGAAGGGAAUGGCUUCUUGCCUGGAGAAUUCCAUGAACAGAGGAGCCUGCCAGGCUAUAGUCCAUGGGGUUGCAAAGAGUUGGAUAUGACUGAGUGGCUACCAAACGCCCCAAAUGGAUUGAUGGAUAGCUACAUGAUGAAACAGAGUGAAGUGUCAAUGGUUGAACCCGGGUAGUGUGUAUGUGGGUAGUCACUGUCCUGUUCUGUCAAUUGCUGUGUUUUUGAAACAAAACAUUUUCAUAUUUGGAGGAAAAAUUGAAAAAAAAAAAAAAANNNNNNNNNNNNNNNNNNNNNNNNNNNNNNNNNNNNNNNNNNNNNNNNNNNNNNNNNNNNNNNNNNNNNNNNNNNNNNNNNNNNNNNNNNNNNNNNNNNAUUUGGAGGAAAAAUUGAAAAAAAAAAAAAAAGCUGUAGUUCUAUAACAGCCACACAGCUUAACCUGAUAAGGAUUUUCUGCCACCCUCUGGUGUUUGAAACUUCUUCUGAAAUCUUUUGUCUUCCAGGAGACAUGUCAGGAUUGGCACUGUCUUUUGAUGGCAGAGUCACCAUAUAAAGUACAGGGAUUUGUCACAGAUCUUCCUGAGUUUUUGUUCUGUGGACACUCAAUGAGUAUUUGCUGAUGAAGAAGAAAAUGAAGUAACUGCAGACUCGCAGUUAAUGUCUACAAGUAUAGGCACUGUUUGCCCUCAGCGUAUGUAGAACCUGUUGGUGAAAGUCACUCAGUCGUGUCUGACUCUUGGCAGCCCCGUGGACUAUACCGUCCACGGAAUUCUCCAGGNNNNNNNNNNNNNNNNNAGCCUUUCCCUUCUCCAGGGGAUCUUCCCAAUCCAGGGAUUGAACCCAGGGCUCCCGCAUUGCAGGCAGAUUCUUUACCAGCUGAGCCACAAGGGAAGACAUUAGAACAUGUUGAUGGCUCCAAAAUCAGCCCCCAUGUGUCUCUUGACUGGGGAAAAUUGCCUCCUUGCAAGAGAGAAAAAAACAUAACCCUAUGGUCUCUAAUUUACAGGAAAACACUUUGCUCAAAUCAUGAUAAAACUCUUUUUUUGGUUUUUAUGGAGAAAAAAGAAAAAGUGGCUUUAUUUCUUAGCCAAGUGAAGGGGAACAUAGUAGGCUAGAGCCUCAAGAACUGUGCCCCUGAUACCAAUCAUUCAUUGAAAACAUUCCCUACA
ensembl:lncRNA